GACGAACGCUGGCGGCGUGCCUAACACAUGCAAGUCGAACGGAAAGGCCCUGCUUGUGUGGGCUGCUGGAGUGGCGAACGGGUGAGUAACACGUGAGUAACCUGCCCUUGACUUUGGGAUAACUUCAGGAAGCGGAAGCUAAUACCGGAUAGGAGCUCCUGCUGCAUGGUGGGGGUUGGAAAGUUUCGGCGGUUGGGGAUGGACUCGCGGCUUAUCAGCUUGUUGGUGGGGUAGUGGCUUACCAAGGCUUUGACGGGUAGCCGGCCUGAGAGGGUGGCCGGCCUCAAUGGGCCUGCGGUACGGCCCAGUCUCGUAUGGUAGGCAACGGGGGGGAGCAUUGUACAGUGGUCCGACGCCUGAUGCGACGGCGCCGCGUGCGGGAUGCCGUCUUGCUGGUUGUGAACCGCAGUCGGCUGAGACGACGCGUUAGUGACGGUAACGGGUGAAUAAGCACCGGCUAACUUCGUG
rnacentral:rRNA from 1 species